GCCAAUAGGACACAAGCUACUGCCAUUACUGUGUUACAGUACAGUGACACUUGCACAAUCACAACAAAGGUCUUGGACUCUAACUCUGUUCCUCUCAGAUGGAACCCUGUACAAAGGUCUUGGACUCUAACUCUGUUCCUCUCAGAUGGAACCCUGUACAAAGGUCUUGGACUCUAACUCUGUUCCUCUCAGAUGGAACCCUGUACAAAGGUCUUGGACUCUAACUCUGUUCCUCUCAGAUGGAACCCUGUACAAAGGUCUUGGACUCUAACUCUGUUCCUCUCAGAUGGAACCCUGUACAGCUUCUUCGUCGUAACUUGGUGUUGACGCAGGAUGUGGCAGAGUGUCGACAUACUGACACGGUUGAUAUUAUGGAAUGUUGUGUGAUCUGCCAUGAUUUGCUCUCGUAGUUGAUGUAGGCAGAUGGUGUUGUUUACCAACACUAGACUGACAAUGGCCAGUUCCUGUUCGUGGUGAACAGACGUUGCUGUCCACCCUCAGGAGGUCGUCUGGCAGUUCUCUAGAAAAUACAACAAUAUGAUGUCAUUGGUUGGGUUAUUUUUGACAUACUGUACUGUCACACUGUACACAGUAACAUCACAACUGUAUUACAUGUACUUCACAGCACUAUACCUGAGGAGCAUAGACCUAAUAUUGUAGGACUACAUUGUAUUGUACUGGGAUGCAGAAUGAUGUACAACGACUACAUAGGUACAAUCUAUUGUAGAAAGUUGAAGACAUACCUGUUCUCCAGUCUAAAGGUCCGUAUUAUGGAUGCUACCAUGUAGCGACUCCGGUUGGGCUGGAAGCUCUGUCCAGUCUCCCUCAUCGUCAGGCCAUGAUUUAUGACACGGUCCACCAAAGUGGCCCUAAUGUCGUCAGAAAUAUGUCUCUGUCUAUUGCCUGGUCCCCUUCUUUAUUCUUGUCGUCGUCCUCGUCGUCAUCGUCCUCCUCCUCCUCUCGCUCUUACUGCCUCCAUGUUUGCAAAGUUCUCACAAAAGAGGUGAUCUUACCUGAGGUCAAUAUGUAGUGAUG
ensembl:lncRNA